AAAAAUUUCGGUUGCAUUUUGGGUGUGUACUGGAGCGGUGGAGGCUUACCUCGUGGUGAGCUGUUAUGCCCUUUACUGGGUGUGGCAGGGAACCAUGAUUUUUACUUUGAAAAAAUUAGAGUGUUCAAAGCAGGCUUACGCCCGAAUACAUUAGCAUGGAAUAAUAAAAUAGGACGUGCGGUCCUAUUUUGUUGGUUUCUAGGAUCGCCGUAAUGAUUAAUAGGGAUAGUUGGGA
rnacentral:rRNA from 1 species